AAAGCUUGUCGGCCUUUUGGCUAAGAUCAAGUGUAGUAUCUGUUCUUAUCAGUUUAAUAUCUAAUUCUUUGGCCAGGACGACUUAUUUUAUAUUGUAAAUUCAUUUUAUAUUUUUAAUGUAUUAUAUUUUAAUGUUUUGUGAGCCACCCCAAGGCUUCGGCGAAUGGGGCAACAUAG
rnacentral:snRNA from 1 species